rnacentral:rRNA from 1 species
GACGUAGGGCGCGAGCGUUGUCCGGAUUUAUUGGGCGUAAAGAGCUCGUAGGCGGCUUGUUGCGUCAGCUGUGAAAACCCGCAGCUCAACUGUGGGCUUGCAGCUGAUACGGGCAGGCUUGAGUUCGGUAGGGGAGACUGGAAUUCCUGGUGUAGCGGUGAAAUGCGCAGAUAUCGGGAGGAACACCAAUUGCGAAGGCAGCUCGCUGGGACGGUACUGACGCUGAGGCGCGAAAGCGUGGGGAGCAAACAGG